rnacentral:rRNA from 1 species
AUACGGAGGAUGCAAGCGUUAUCCGGAUUUAUUGGGUUUAAAGGGUGCGUAGGCGGCUUGCUAAGCGGGAGGUGAAAUGCCGGCGCUCAACGUCGGAAGUGCCUCCCGAACUGGUGGACUGGAAUGACUCUGCCGUGGGAGGAAUGUGUAGUGUAGCGGUGAAAUGCUUAGAGAUUACACAGAACACCGAUUGCGAAGGCAUCUCACGAAGGGUUGAUUGACGCUGAGGCACGAAAGCGUGGGGAUCAAACAGGAUUAGAUACCCUGGUAGUCCACGCAGUAAACGAUGAUGGCUAACCGCUGGUUUAUUCGGAUCAGUGGCCAAGCGAAAGCGAUAAGCCAUCCACCUGGGGAGUACGACCGCAAGGUUGAAACUCAAAGGAAUUGACGGGG